rnacentral:rRNA from 1 species
GACGAACGCUGGCGGCGUGCUUAACACAUGCAAGUCGAGCGAUGAAGUUCCUUCGGGAACGGAUUAGCGGCGGACGGGUGAGUAACACGUGGGUAACCUGCCUCGUAGAGGGGAAUAGCCUUUCGAAAGGAAGAUUAAUGCCCCAUAAGAUUGUAGUACCGCAUGGUAUAGCAAUUAAAGGAGUAAUCCGCUAUGAGAUGGACCCGCGUCGCAUUAGCUAGUUGGUGAGGUAACGGCUCACCAAGGCGACGAUGUGUAGCCGACCUGAGAGGGUGAUCGGCCACAUUGGGACUGAGACACGGCCCAGACUCCUACGGGAGGCAGCAGUGGGGAAUAUUGCACAAUGGGGGAAACCCUGAUGCAGCAACGCCGCGUGAGUGAUGACGGUCUUCGGAUUGUAAAACUCUGUCUUCAGGGACGAUAAUGACGGUACCUGAGGAGGAAGCCACGGCUAACUACGUGCCAGCCGCCGCGGUAA